rnacentral:rRNA from 1 species
AACGUAGGACGCGAGCGUUGUCCGGAGUUACUGGGCGUAAAGCGCGGGCAGGCGGAUGCCCAAGUCGGACGUGAAAGCUCCUGGCUCAACCGGGAGAGGCCGUACGAGACUGGGGGUCGGGCGGGCAGUAGAGGGGCGUAGAAUUGCGGGUGGAGUGGUGAAAUGCGUAGAGAUCCGGAGGAAUACCAGAGGCGAGGUCGGCGCCCUGGACUGCAGCUGACGCUGAGCCGCGAAAGCAUGGGGAGCGAACGGG